rnacentral:lncRNA from 1 species
AAUGUAGGAGGAAAGUGGAGGAGAGGAAGACCGAGAAAGAUGUGGUUAGAUACGAUUGGGAAUGAUAUGAGGACAGCGGGUGUAUGCGAGAACAAUGUGGGGGAUCGGGCCGAAUCGAAGUUUAAGACGAGGGUGGCUGACCCCAAAUAAUUGGGAUGAAUGCGACGAUGGAGGAGAGGAAUAAGAUGAUAUUUAUAAUCAUUUUCUAAGAAUUUAUAUUGGAUUGUUGACGAGAUCGAUGAUGAAAACGAUAAUAAUUUCCAUCGGAAUCACCGCGAGAUGAAUUUAUUUGAACAUACAGAAUGAGACUGGUGCGAUCAUACGUUAAUUUUCCAGAACAACCCACCAGAUCGUUAGAAAACGUGUGGUUUCGCUUCGGGCUUUUGGCGCUCAGUACCACAGGACCACAGGACCAAUCAUCGUGACGCACUCCGAAUAAUAGGUACACCUAUAUUGAUGAACAUGCUUUCGUUAUGUUAUUAUUAUUCGGCUCAAAGGACACUAGGCGGGGAAAAACGUACACAAACAACAAUACUUCGCGGCGGCGGCGGCGACGUUUGUUCGUAUAACAAAAUGAAAAAAAAAAAACCGACUAUACGGUUAAAAACAAAAGACUCGACCGGGGCGAUCAUAAUUCACCGAUUACCAUCGGCGUGCGUAUAGAUAGAGUCUUGUCUAUAUACAGAGGAUAACAAUCGUCGUCGGUACCUAUCCGAGUCGUUCACAAACCGAUUAAUUCGAUAUAUCGGAAUUUGACCCGGACCUUGACAGGAGUCAACAGCUCGGCGGCGGCGGUUCAGCUGGUUCUCUCCGGACGCGUGGGUGGUACGGCGGUUUUCGUUUUUAUAAAUGAUCCGACGGGCGUCGGCGGGACUCGAUCGGCGUGUGUGUGCACAGAGUAUUAUUAUUAUUAUUAUUAUUAUUAUUUAUUUACUUACGUAUUUGGCAGCGACGAUACCAGAGUGACGGUAGUAACCGCGAUGACGGCGUAUAAGUAUAAACAUGAUGAGAGUUCGUUUUCACGUCGCGUCGUGUCGUCGCCGAAACCCUGUAUACACAUUUUGUCGACCAAAAAAAAUUGUCUGCAAUAAAGUUUACGAUUAAAUCGAGAUUUCCGGUGAAAAACGUAUCAAUAAAAAAAACGUACAUCGUAAUAAAACCAAUACAUUUGUCGCUUCGUUCAGAAUCCAAAAAAACCGUAUUGGUUAUAGGUAAUGUAAAACGACCCGUGUACUUUCGAUAAAUAAAGUUUUUUUUUGUUUUUUUUUUCUAGAAUUCCCCUCAGAAAUGUAGGAGCCUAUUACGCCGCACCCUGCACGCAUACUAUAAAUACCGUUUAGCCAGCGAAAACGUCAGCUAUAAGUGUACAUAUUUUCGACCGUCGAUUUUAUGGCUGUGCAAUACCAUUGUAAUUACCGUAGGCAUAAUAUUAUCGACGCGGAACGAACGGGAAAUCGGAAAUCCGACACGUUGCAAUGCGUUAUUUUUUAACGGACGUCAAUAGCGAUUCCAUAGGAUGCGCAGCGCCGCCGCGGCCGAAUCGAAACCGUCGCGACGAUAAUAUUUUGUUUACGACGGCAAAGUUUGUUGCGUACGUGCGGCGCGACACGAGCGGUACGGCCGCGACCGCGACGACGCCUCUACAAUAACGCGCGGACAAUUUAAAAACGAAUACUAUUACAUGAAUUAUUAACAUGAUUAUUCGUCGUCAACGCCGCAAACGUGUCGCGGCUAAUGACUUCGGGGCCGGCAUGCAGGCGACGCGUUCGUAUUUAACACGCGCGCGUCACGUAUUAUUCGAUAUUAUCGCGCGUAUCACUGCUCACCGCGCGGCCAGUAGAGUGGCGGCCGUCGUCAUACAGGUCCGCGGCGAUAGUCCGCCGGAAACACUACGUUCGGUCGUCUAGAAGAUUCGAAAACAAAAUGAAAAUUCGCCGGGUUCUCGCGAUUAAUCAUGUCACCGGCGUCCGACGUGAGAGCAUAUGUAUUCGUUCGCGGUGUAUUGGCGAUGAAGUUUGCCGGUUGUUCGCGAUUGUAGUGGGCCGCGAUAUCGCCUGCAAAACAUCGCGUCGUAUCGUCGAACGUCCGGUAUAGCGGCGAUGCGGGAAAACUCGAUAUCAUACCGAAAAUAAAAAAUCGUCGCGAGUUGAAAUUCAGUGUUCGGCAGUGAAGUUUGACGGGGCGAAAGUCGAUUGUAGCGCGAGAUUUAAACUCUUGCACAGCUACACCACGCGAGUAUAACGCUCGACAGGCGGAGUUGACUGAAAUAACAAACUGC